UACGUAGGGUGCGAGCGUUAAUCGGAAUUACUGGGCGUAAAGCGCUUGUAGGCGGCUUGUUAAGUCGCGUGUGAAAUCCCCAGGCUUAACCUGGGAAGUGCGCGCGAAACUGGCGAGCUUGAGUGCCGGAGAGGGUCGCGGAAUUCCCGGUGUAGAGGUGAAAUUCGUAGAUAUCGGGAGGAACACCAGUGGCGAAGGCGGCGACCUGGACGGACACUGACGCUGAGACGCGAAAGCGUGGGGAGCAAACAGG
rnacentral:rRNA from 1 species